rnacentral:rRNA from 1 species
UACAGAGGUCCCAAGCGUUGUUCGGAUUCACUGGGCGUAAAGGGUGCGUAGGUGGUUCUGCAAGUCUGAUGUGAAAUCUCCGGGCUUAACCCGGAAAUGGCAUUGGAAACUGCAGGGCUGGAGUGUUGGAGGGGGGACUGGAAUUCCCAGUGUAGCGGUGAAAUGCGUAGAUAUUGGGAGGAACACCAGUGGCGAAGGCGGCUCACUGGACCGGUACUGACGCUGAUGCGCGAAAGCGUGGGGAUCGAACAGG